rnacentral:rRNA from 1 species
UACGGAGGGAGCUAGCGUUGUUCGGAAUUACUGGGCGUAAAGGGUGCGUAGGCGGCUUUUUAAGUUUGGUGUGAAAUCUCCCGGCUCAACUGGGAGGGUGCGCCGAAUACUGAGAAGCUAGAGUGUGGGAGAGGAAAGUGGAAUUCCUGGUGUAGCGGUGAAAUGCGUAGAUAUCAGGAGGAACACCGGUGGUGUAAACGGCUUUCUGGACCAUAACUGACGCUGAGGCACGAAAGCGUGGGUAGCAAACAGG